AUCCAUCCAUCCAUCCAUCCAUCCAUCCUCCCUUCACUCCUGUGUUCUUUAAUCCCUCUUUUAUCUGCCCUCACUUUCUGAUUUUGUUUUACUCAAAUUCUACUUUCAUCUUUUAAUGUUCCUUUUCUCACCUUUAUUCUCCUCAACCCCUUCCCCCUCUCCAUUCUUCCCUUUUUUUUACCUCCUCACUCCUUCUUCCUCUCGUCUGUCCAUCCCUCCCUCCCUCCAUCUCUCCUCAGAUCUGUAUAAGAGUCUCCAGUCAGGGUCACAUGCUGCUCUACCUCCUCACUUGCAGCUUGCUUUCUCAGAUGCGAACCAAAGCCAGGGUGGCGACAUGAAGAGGAAGUCCCACUGACCAAUAGAGACGGAGGACAGAGAGUGACAUCGAGACAUCCACUAGGAUCACUUUGAUUGGACAGAUGGACACAAUGAUGUAAUAAUACAGGGGGGAGGAGCCUUCUUCCCUCAAUAUGGACCUGAAGAAUCAAUUCCCCCUCACCAUGACAAUUUAUGAAUUUAAUUUAGCUGUAUGUUUAUGAUUACUGGGUAUAAAAUGGACCUGGGGUGAAUGAUAAUGAAUUUUUUUCCCUUACGUUUUUUUCUUGUCAACAUGUUUACAUGACCGACCUUUAUCACUGUGGAAUGAGGACAGGGUCGUAUUCAUUAGGCUCCAAGCGUAGAAAAACAAAUACAAAAACAAGGAAGGACUGACUGAACACUCGUUUUCGUUUAAAAGGCGUUUUGCUAUGUUGUGCACCAACGGAGCGCACAUACCGCAACGAAUGUCGAUCUAUUUGCCGUUUGUUCGGACCACCCCACCGGUGAGGGUCUGAUUGCUGACAUUUUCGCUUGAUUCUACAUGUAGAAUCAGUUUGAAAAUAAUGGCUGGCACUCUGUUCAGAGGUGCUAAGUAGUCUCGACCUGCAAACGCUACCAGUGUGUCCGUUCCGUAAUGAAAACCACCCAGGAGAGGGAGCACCCAGGAGAGGGAGCACCCAGGAGAGGGAGCACCCAGGAGAGGGAGCACCCAGGAGAGGGAGCACGCUGUUAGCUAAGUCAUUUAAUUUGAAUUUGAGUCUGUUUUUAUUUUUUCUCGUCUAAAGCAGAUUUGAGUAUAAAUUAUUUUUUGGUAGUUGUCUUGACUGUCUGAGGAAGGUAGUUGUUAACUUGUCUCCGAUGUGAGAUGGUGUGUCCAUAGAGUGUUUUAAAGUCGCCUCUGCUCCCCACAAAUGACUGUUAAGGUAGUAUAGCUAAUAUAAAAAUGGAUAAAUUAUUUGUAAUUUACACAGGGAUAAAAAAAUAUUUAGAGGUACGAGUGUGCCCGGUGAGAUUGUGUGUGUGUGUGUGUACGUACACAACCUACAUAUAUUAUUAUAUAUUGUAUUUUCUUUCUAGGUCUGUCUGUGCUGUGUGAGUGCGAAUUGUAUAUCCCCCUUUUCUCUGUUGUGUGUGUGUGUGUGUGUGUGUGUGUGUUUGUGUUUGAG
rnacentral:lncRNA from 1 species